GCCAGACUCCUACGGGAGGCAGCAGUGGGGAAUAUUGGGCAAUGGGCGCAAGCCUGACCCAGCAACGCCGCGUGAAGGAAGAAGGCUUUCGGGUUGUAAACUUCUUUUCUCAGGGACGAAGCAAGUGACGGUACCUGAGGAAUAAGCCACGGCUAACUACGUGCCAGCAGCCACGGUAAUACGUAGGUGGCAAGCGUUAUCCGGAUUUACUGGGUGUAAAGGGCGUGUAGGCGGGACUGCAAGUCAGAUGUGAAAACCACGGGCUCAACCGGUGGCCUGCAUUUGAAACUGUAGUUCUUGAGUACUGGAGAGGCAGACGGAAUUCCUAGUGUAGCGGUGAAAUGCGUAGAUAUUAGGAGGAACACCAGUGGCGAAGGCGGCCUGCUGGACUGCAACUGACGUUGAGGCUCGAAGGCGUGGGGAGCAAACAGGAUUAGAUACCCGAGUACAU
rnacentral:rRNA from 1 species